rnacentral:rRNA from 1 species
UAGGGAAUAUUAGUAAUGGGCGCAAGCCUGAACUAGCAACACCGCGUGUGCGAAGAAGGCCUUCGGGUUGUAAAGCACUUUUUGAGAGGAUGAGGAAGGACGGUACUCUCAGAAUAAGUCUCGGCUAACUACGUGCCAGCAGCCGCGGUAACACGAUGGAGGCAAACGUUAUCCGGAUUUACUGGGCGUAAAGCGCGUGUAGGUGGUUUGGUAAGUAGAGCGUGAAAGCUCAUGGCUUAACGGGGGGAGGGCGUUCUAAACUGCCGGACUAGAGGAUGGUAGAGGGAGGUGGAAUUCCGGGUGUAGCGGUGGAAUGCGCAGAUAUCCGGAGGAACACCAGUGGCGAAAGCGGCCUCCUGGACCACUCCUGACACUCAGACGCGAAAGCUAGGGUAGCAAACG